rnacentral:rRNA from 1 species
UGGGGAAUUUUGGACGAUGGGCGAAAGCCUGAUCCAGCAAUGCCGCGUGUGUGAAGAAGGCCUUCGGGUUGUAAAGCACUUUUGUCCGGAAAGAAAUCCUUGGCUCUAAUACAGUCGGGGGAUGACGGUACCGGAAGAAUAAGCACCGGCUAACUACGUGCCAGCAGCCGCGGUAAUACGUAGGGUGCAAGCGUUAAUCGGAAUUACUGGGCGUAAAGCGUGCGCAGGCGGUUUGCUAAGACCGAUGUGAAAUCCCCGGGCUCAACCUGGGAACUGCAUUGGUGACUGGCAGGCUAGAGUAUGGCAGAGGGGGGUAGAAUUCCACGUGUAGCAGUGAAAUGCGUAGAGAUGUGGAGGAAUACCGAUGGCGAAGGCAGCCCCCUGGGCCAAUACUGACGCUCAUGCACGAAAGCGUGGGGAGCAAACAGGAUUAGAUACCCUGGUAGUCCACGCCCUAAACGAUGUCAACUAGUUGUUGGGGAUUCAUUUCCUUAGUAACGUAGCUAACGCGUGAAGUUGACCGCCUGGGGAGUACGGUCGCAAGAUU